GACGAACGCUGGCGGCGUGCUUAACACAUGCAAGUCGAACGGAAAGGCCCUGCUUGCAGGGUACUCGAGUGGCGAACGGGUGAGUAACACGUGGGUGAUCUGCCCUGCACUUCGGGAUAAGCCUGGGAAACUGGGUCUAAUACCGGAUAGGAGCCAUUUUUAGUGUGAUGGUUGGAAAGUUUUUUCGGUGUAGGAUGAGCUCGCGGCCUAUCAGCUUGUUGGUGGGGUAAUGGCCUACCAAGGCGGCGACGGGUAGCCGGCCUGAGAGGGUGGACGGCCACAUUGGGACUGAGAUACGGCCCAGACUCCUACGGGAGGCAGCAGUGGGGAAUAUUGCACAAUGGGCGCAAGCCUGAUGCAGCGACGCCGCGUGGGGGAUGACGGCCUUCGGGAUGUAAACUCCUUUCGCUAGGGACGAAGCUUUUUGUGACGGUACCUAGAUAAGAAGCACCGGCUAACUACGUG
rnacentral:rRNA from 1 species